rnacentral:rRNA from 1 species
AUGACCUCAAGGAAGCCCGCACCAAAUUCCCGGACGAAUGGAGUGUUCAGCGUCAGUGGGCUGUCGCUGGUCACCGGACAACAAUUUGAGAUCAAGGUUGUCAUAUCCCAUUAA